AUUAAACGCUGGCGGCAGGCUUAACACAUGCAAGUCGAGCGGGGUGAUGGUGCUUGCACAAUCACUUAGCGGCGGACGGGUGAGUAAUGCUUAGGAAUCUGCCUAUUAGUGGGGGACAACAUCUCGAAAGGGAUGCUAAUACCGCAUACGUCCUACGGGAGAAAGCAGGGGAUCACUUGUGACCUUGCGCUAAUAGGUGAGCCUAAGUCGGAUUAGCUAGUUGGUGGGGUAAAGGCCUACCAAGGCGACGAUCUGUAGCGGGUCUGAGAGGAUGAUCCGCCACACUGGGACUGAGACACGGCCCAGACUCCUACGGGAGGCAGCAGUGGGGAAUAUUGGACAAUGGGGGGAACCCUGAUCCAGCCAUGCCGCGGGUGUGAAGAAGGCCUUAUGGUUGUAAAGCACUUUAAGCGAGGAGGAGGCUCUUUUGGUUAAUACCCAAGAUGAGUGGACGUUACUCGCAGAAUAAGCACCGGCUAACUCUGUGCCAGCCGCCGCAGUAACAC
rnacentral:rRNA from 1 species